rnacentral:lncRNA from 1 species
GUAGCGUAUCGUUCGUUCCCUCUUCAUUCUCGUUGAGCGACACAAUUUACAGAGCCAUGAUUGGGCUCGUAAUUAUCAACAAUGACUUUGAGAUGAAAACGAGAGAGAUUUAGGAUUUGACUCUGAUACCGUAUUAUUACGUGAAGUAAAACCGAUAAUCUUUAUGCUUAUGAUGUUAUUAGUUAUAGACAUAUGUAUAAAAUAAAUUUGCAAUAGUAA